UACGUAGGUGGCAAGCGUUGUCCGGAAUUAUUGGGCGUAAAGCGCGCGCAGGCGGUCCUUUAAGUCUGAUGUGAAAGCCCACGGCUCAACCGUGGAGGGUCAUUGGAAACUGGGGGGACUUAGUGCAGGAGAGAAGAGUGGAAUUCCACGUGUAGCGGUGAAAUGCGUAGAGAUGUGGAGGAACACCAGUGGCGAAGGCGACUCUUUGGCCUGUAACUGACGUGAGGCGCGAAAAGCGUGGGGGAGCAAACAGG
rnacentral:rRNA from 1 species